rnacentral:rRNA from 2 species
AAUCAUGCAAGUCGAGCGAACUGAUUAGAAGCUUGCUUCUAUGACGUUAGCGGCCCCCCGGGUGAGUAACACGUGGGCAACCUGCCUGUCCCCACUGGGAUAACUUCGGGAAACCGAAGCUAAUACCGGAUAGGAUCUUCUCCUUCAUGGGAGAUGAUUGAAAGAUGGUUUCGGCUAUCACUUACAGAUGGGCCCGCGGUGCAUUAGCUAGUUGGUGAGGUAACGGCUCACCAAGGCAACGAUGCAUAGCCGACCUGAGAGGGUGAUCGGCCACACUGGGACUGAGACACGGCCCAGACUCCUACGGGAGGCAGCAGUAGGGAAUCUUCCGCAAUGGACGAAAGUCUGACGGAGCAACGCCGCGUGAGUGAUGAAGGCUUUCGGGUCGUAAAACUCUGUUGUUAGGGAAGAACAAGUACAAGAGUAACUGCUUGUACCUUGACGGUACCUAACCAGAAAGCCACGGCUAACUACGUGCCAGCAGCCGCGGUAAUACGUAGGUGGCAAGCGUUAUCCGGAAUUAUUGGGCGUAAAGCGCGCGCAGGCGGUUUCUUAAGUCUGAUGUGAAAGCCCACGGCUCAACCGUGGAGGGUCAUUGGAAACUGGGGAACUUGAGUGCAGAAGAGAAAAGCGGAAUUCCACGUGUAGCGGUGAAAUGCGUAGAGAUGUGGAGGAACACCAGUGGCGAAGGCGGCUUUUUGGUCUGUAACUGACGCUGAGGCGCGAA